rnacentral:lncRNA from 1 species
GCACACCAAAACAAUUAAAAUGUAAAAAAAAGCAAGACAAUUAUGGAAAAUAAGAUGAACAACAUGAAAGUAAAGAAGAACUAAAAAUGAAAGACCAAAAGCAACUCAUCUUGAAGAACCAUAGCUCUGAUACCAAAUGAUGGCAUUUCAUGAAGGUCUUCUUGAAUCAUGUAAGAAAAAGUGGUGCGGAAGCUAUGAAGGUGUGUGAGCAAGAUCCUCCUAAGAGUGGUGUUGAUCUUGAAG